rnacentral:rRNA from 1 species
GAGUGGACGCAUCACUGGUGUUCGGGUUGUCAUGCCAAUGGCACUGCCCGGUAGCUAAAUGCGGAAGAGAUAAGUGCUGAAAGCAUCUAAGCACGAAACUUGCCCCGAGAUGAGUUCUCCCUGAGACUUUAAGUCUCCUGAAGGAACGUUGAAGACGACGACGUUGAUAGGCCGGGUGUGUAAGCGCAGCGAUGCGUUGAGCUAACCGGUACUAAUGAACCGUGAGGCUUAACCUU